rnacentral:rRNA from 1 species
GAUGAACGCUGGCGGCGUGCUUAACACAUGCAAGUCGAACGGAGUUCCUUGGAUAGAGGCUUCGGCCAAUUGAAUUGGAACUUAGUGGCGGACUGGUGAGUAACGCGUGAGGAACCUGCCUUUCAGAGGGGGACAACAGCUGGAAACGGCUGCUAAUACCGCAUGACACAUUUGGGUGGCAUCACUUGAAUGUCAAAGAUUUUAUCGCUGAAAGAUGGCCUCGCGUCUGAUUAGCUAGUUGGUGAGGUAACGGCCCACCAAGGCGACGAUCAGUAGGCGGACUGAGAGGUUGAUCCGCCACAUUGGGACUGAGGUACGGCCCAGACUCCUACGGGAGGCAGCAGUGGGGAAUAUUGGGCAAUGGACGCAAGUCUUACCCAGCAACGCCGCGUGAAGGAAGAAGGCUUUCGGGUUGUAAACUUCUUUUAUCAGGGAAGAGUAGAAGACGGUACCUGAUGAAUAAGCCACGGCUAACUACGUGCCAGCCGCCGCUGUAAUAC